GCUCGGGUGGUGGAAUUGGUAGACACUAGGGACUUAAAAUCCCUCGCAGUUUAACUGUGUACGAGUUCGAGUCUCGUCCCGAGCA
rnacentral:tRNA from 1 species